UGAAUUUUCGGAGUAGUAGUGUUGAU
rnacentral:piRNA from 1 species